AUUGAACGCUGGCGGCAUGCCUUACACAUGCAAGUCGAACGGCAGCACGGGAGCAAUCCUGGUGGCGAGUGGCGAACGGGUGAGUAAUGUAUCGGAACGUACCAUUGAGUGGGGGAUAACGUAGCGAAAGUUACGCUAAUACCGCAUAUACCCUGAGGGGGAAAGCAGGGGAUCGCAAGACCUUGUGCUCUUUGAGCGGCCGAUAUCAGAUUAGCUAGUUGGUGAGGUAAAGGCUCACCAAGGCGACGAUCUGUAGCGGGUCUGAGAGGAUGAUCAGCCACACUGGAACUGAGACACGGUCCAGACUCCUACGGGAGGCAGCAGUGGGGAAUUUUGGACAAUGGGGGCAACCCUGAUCCAGCCAUGCCGCGUGAGUGAAGAAGGCCUUCGGGUUGUAAAGCUCUUUCGACCGGGAGGAAAUCGCAUCAGCUAAUACCUGGUGUGGAUGACAGUACCGGAAUAAGAAGCACCGGCUAACUACGUGCCAGCCGCCGCCGUAACAC
rnacentral:rRNA from 1 species